rnacentral:lncRNA from 1 species
UUGCCCAUUGUGUGGAGCAAUGGAGAGUUGAGAAAGAAGUGGUGAUGCGCCACUGGUGUGAAGUGUCACUGAAGCUCACUUGCAAGCUUGGACCUAUACUCAAUCCAAGCUUGAGGAGGGGAGUUUAGUGAGCUUCCAAGCGAUCCAAGAAGUCCAUUGCAAGCAUCUGAAGAAGGAGCCAUCCGGGCUUAGGCUGUGGCGAGUCUAUUCAAGAGAGUACUCAAACUAAGACAGAGUACUCUUGGCUGUGAGAAGAUGAAGGCAACUCUAUCAAGGCGGCUUCUAGUGUGAAGCGAUUGGAGAGAUAGCUGAAGCUUCCACAAGCAUUCCAUGAAGAUGGCAAGAUCAGAAGAGGAGCGGCAAUGGUGUGUGGUGAGGAUCAUGAAGCAAUCCAUUCAAGCUUGUUCCUGUGAGAGUCUCAGCUUGAGGGGGAGUGUUGAAGCUUACAUGAUCCAAGAGAGCUUGGUGGUUACUCUAGAAGAAGAAGAAGCAGCCAAGACUCAGUAAGAAGAAGUUGUAUCUCCAAAAGAGCUGAUCUGGUGUGUCCGAGCACUUCAACCUAACAAGAGGUUAGGUGAAAGGGGGAGAGACCAAGAUUAGGCAGUAAGGAGAGUACAAGGCGUGGGGUGAUUGUAGAGGCCAUGAUCCAGAGUCUUUGUGUCCCUUACAUUGUUGGUAAGGCACAAAGACUCACUGGCCAAUCCCUAGGCCUUGGAGACUUUACUCUUUUUCCCUCUCAAGGUUUUGUCCCAAAGGGUUUUCCUUGGUGAGGUUUUUAAUGAGGAAGUUCUUCAGGGUUCCAAGCUUGACUUAGGAUCAACUAAAGUCAAGCUUGAGGGGGAGUGUUGAACUGAAGAGAAGAAUGGAGCUUGUGCAUAAAUAGGGGCAAGCUCUUGAAGAUCUUAAGAAGAGUUCUAUGAAGCUUCAGAAGUGAUGAGAAGCUGAUAUAAGGUUGGGACAAUGGCUAAGAAGAGUUCAGACAGAAGUGGAGUAGUCUUUGGAUGAGUUAAGGAGAGAAAGGUAGAUGGUGCAAAGAUAGGGACAGCCAUGUACGGCCAUGUACGGAUGGUACGGCCCGGGAAGGACAUGGCUGAUCCAAAAGAGUUUCUAUCAAGUCUUGGGAUGUUUUGGAGUUGUGCAAAGAUAGGGCGCAAUGUGAGAGAAGCAGCCCUAAUCCGUACACUCAGCUGAUGAAGACUUGUGAUACAAGGCAUGAAGAAGGCUUAGGGCAAGAGAGCAAAGAUCCUAAAGGCAUAUGCUGUCCGAGAUGCUUUAGGAAGUAACCAGGAAGGUGCUGAGCUCUCUUGACCGUUUAUGGAUAAGAAACCUUAUCCAUACAGCUUGUUCAAAUUCAAAUAAGCAAGCUGGCAUGAGCUGUAAAGUAAAGGCAAAGAAGAAGUCAUGUAUCUGGCCAAAGGAGAGGGAAGAUACAUGGAGCUUUAAGAAAAGCAAUCAGGCGCCAGCAAGCAAGAACCAAUCACCAUUCAGCCUUCCUUGACCAGAUCCAAAGCUACAUCCAAGCCAUUCAUUUCCCAAAGUCAUUUAGAGCCAUCAGAUUUAGGUUUAUGAGUUUCAGAGUGUGAAAACAUAUAUAAACUGAUGUAUGGACGUUUUGUAAGCUCUAAGAGAGUAUGGGGGUUUUCCCCAUCUCCUUCAUAAAUAUAAAAGUGUGUUCUUGAUCAGAUUCUUAAUCUACCCCUUUCUUAGUCUCUAAUCUCUUAAUCUCUCUAAGUCUCUUUGUUUCUGAUUCAAGUUCAUACUAGUUUCAUCAGACCUCUUAUUCAACUAGUUCAAGACCUUAUUCUUUGCCUCUAAUGGCUUCUCAUACACAUACACAGCCAGAGCUCUCAAAUCUCAUAUGGUAUCAGAGCCAGGUUCAUCAGAACCUGAGCUGAAGCUUCCGCAAACACACUGCUCUCUCCUCAGCUCAAAUCCAAACCAUUGAAGCUCUCUCCAUCCGGUUCAGCUCCUUAUGAAGAAGAAGACUGAAGCUUGGCGAGUUCUCAUGGUUCCUCAUCCUGUUCUCUUCCUGUCCUGAUGGUGAUUCUCCUUGGAAGCAGAGGUGUAUGGACAAGGCCUAGCUAUCCUUGUACCAAGGCGCCUUGUCCAAGAGAAGAACACAUCCGGUUCCAAAGAAGAUGGUGUCAAGAGCUUGGCGCCUAGUGGAGAUGAAGAAAGGAGGGGUCUUUGAAGCUGAUGGUACAAGAUGGAGGCCAUGAACUGAAGGUGAAGGAGGUGGGUGACGAUCCACACUCUCAAGUCCAACAAAGCAUGGCCGGUUUCAUGAAAGGUUAAGGAACCAAUCUGGUUCCUUGUGGUAAACGAUUCUUAAAACCUUCUUAAUAAUGAGCAGAUGAUAAUGAUGGGUUGUGUAUUGUGAUAUGUAUUGAUUGUUAAACCUGAGGAUAAUGUGAUUGCUAAAUAUAAUUAGUUGAAUCUGUCCCAGGAUGCUUUAAAGGCUUGUUUAGUGUUUAAAGAGUAAAAUGCUUGCUCCUGUUAAGUAAUGAGUUUGCUAAAUGUGAAAUGAUAUUGUUUGAAGCUCAUGAACUGAAAACAGAUUGAAAGUAAUGCAUUGUCUGAUGUUAAGUGAUGAUAGUAAUGCUUAGCCUAAGUUAUAAAUGAAUGUGUGAUGAAUUGUAUUGUUGCAUUCAUGAAUUAAAACUGAUUAAGGUUAGUGCAUACUGUCAAAUGGCUGUCUUACAUUGAAGCAUUAGAUUCAUGUCUAAAUGCUGAGUAAAGAAGCUUUAAAAAUUGCCUAAGUAGCUUGUAUUGAAUCUGUUAGGAUCAUGCUAGUGCUUAGAGAGUUUGCUUGCAAAGAUUAGAACUUGAAAAUGUCUAGUUUAAUCUGUUGCAUUGCUUAAAGACAUUGGUGUUCAAACUUGAUGAUGCAUCAAGGGUUGACCCAAUGCACUUGUGUCUUAUCUUUGCUGGAGUUUGAGUGAUGUUUCAGGUUCACAAGAGGUGUUCUUGGUUCACCAUCCAUCCGAGUUGAAAGAGGAAGACUUUGCCCAUUGUGUGGAGCAAUGGAGAGUUGAGAAAGAAGUGGUGAUGCGCCACUGGUGUGAAGUGUCACUGAAGCUCACUUGCAAGCUUGGACCUAUACUCAAUCCAAGCUUGAGGAGGGGAGUUUAGUGAGCUUCCAAGCGAUCCAAGAAGUCCAUUGCAAGCAUCUGAAGAAGGAGCCAUCCGGGCUUAGGCUGUGGCGAGUCUAUUCAAGAGAGUACUCAAACUAAGACAGAGUACUCUUGGCUGUGAGAAGAUGAAGGCAACUCUAUCAAGGCGGCUUCUAGUGUGAAGCGAUUGGAGAGAUAGCUGAAGCUUCCACAAGCAUUCCAUGAAGAUGGCAAGAUCAGAAGAGGAGCGGCAAUGGUGUGUGUGUGAGGAUCAUGAAGCAAUCCAUUCAAGCUUGUUCCUGUGAGAGUCUCAAGCUUGAGGGGGAGUGUUGAAGCUUACAUGAUCCAAGAGAGCUUGGUGGUUACUCUAGAAGAAGAAGAAGCAGCCAAGACUCAGUAAGAAGAAGUUGUAUCUCCAAGAAGAAGCUGAUCUGGUGUGUCCGAGCACUUCAACCUAACAAGAGGUUAGGUGAAAGGGGGAGAGACCAAGAUUAGGCAGUAAGGAGAGUACAAGGCGUGGGGUGAUUGUAGAGGCCAUGAUCCAGAGUCUUUGUGUCCCUUACAUUGUUGGUAAGGCACAAAGACUCACUGGCCAAUCCCUAGGCCUUGGAGACUUUACUCUUUUUCCCUCAUCAAGGUUUUGUCCCAAAGGGUUUUCCUUGGUGAGGUUUUUAAUGAGGAAGUUCUUCAGGGUUCCAAGCUUGACUUAGGAUCAACUAAAGUCAAGCUUGAGGGGGAGUGUUGAACUGAA